rnacentral:rRNA from 1 species
AUUGAACGCUGGCGGCAGGCUUAACACAUGCAAGUCGAACGAGUGGCGGACGGGUGAGUAAUGCUUGGGAAUCUGGAUGAUGGAGGGGGAUCACGACGGGAAACUGUCGCCACUACCGCGUACCAAAGGAUGGGCCCGAGUGGGAUGAGGUAGUUGGUGGGGGAAGGGCCUACCAAGCCGACGAUCUCUAGCUGGUCUGAGAGGAUGACCAGGCACACCGGGACUGAGACACGGCCCGGACUCCUACGGGAGGCAGCAGUGGGGAAUAUUGCGCAAUGGGGGCAACCUGACGCAGCCAUGCCGCGUGAAUGAAGAAGGCCUUCGGGUUGUAAAGUUCUUUCGGUGACGAGGCGUUAAUCACAGAAGAAGCACCGGCUAACUCCGUGCCAGCAGCCGCGGUAAUUC